UAAGGAAUAUUGCGCAAUGGGCGAAAGCCUGACGCAGCGACGCCGCGUGGGGGAUGAAGGUCUUCGGAUUGUAAACCCCUUUCGGGAGGGAAGAUGGAAUGGGGUAACCCAUUCGGACGGUACCUCCAGAAGCAGCCACGGCUAACUUCGUGCCAGCAGCCGCGGUAAUACGAAGGUGGCAAGCGUUAUUCGGAUUUACUGGGCGUACAGGGAGCGUAGGCGGUUCGGUAAGCCCUCUGUGAAAUCUUCAGGCUUAACCUGGAAAAGUCGGAGGGGACUGCUGGGCUAGAGGACGGGAGAGGAGCGCGGAAUUCCCGGUGUAGCGGUGAAAUGCGUAGAGAUCGGGAGGAAGGCCGGUGGCGAAGGCGGCGCUCUGGAACGUUUCUGACGCUGAGGCUCGAAAGCGUGGGGAGCAAACAGGAUUAGAUACCCGGGUAGUCCCUGAGCGGGCUGGCAAGGCGCAU
rnacentral:rRNA from 1 species